UUUGCAUGCAGAUUCUCAGCAUGUCAGCUGAUUGGACGUACUUUAACAUGGUGGGAACAAACCGCAGAAACAGCUGUUUGAAGAGCUCGUAAAGCACAGUUUCUGCCAUGCUGUGUCUAUCAAACAUUUUUGAUAUGAAAUAUAUCUGCAAGAUUUUGAUGAAAAUCUGGUGCUUUCCAGAUGAGUAAUAAAACAGCCUGGAAGAGGCCUGCCGGUGUGUCUGCUAAGCCCACAUGGUGACUCUGGACCCGGAGCCAUUUUGCUCAGAGUCGGCUCGGACCACAAACAUAAAAAGAAGACUUACCAGCGGGCUGGACGGCGGCCCAUGGUUGCAAUCUGUAAAUGGACAAAUAAAAAAGUGUUAUUUACUGAAA